GGGCGAUUAGCUCAGUUGGUUAGAGCGCCGUGUUUACACCGCGGAUGUCGGGGGUUCGAGUCCCUCAUCGCCCA
rnacentral:tRNA from 1 species